rnacentral:rRNA from 1 species
UACGAAGGGGGCUAGCGUUGUUCGGAAUUACUGGGCGUAAAGCGCGUGUAGGCGGGUCUUUAAGUCAGGGGUGAAAUGCCAAGGCUCAACCUUGGAACUGCCUUUGAUACUGGAGAUCUUGAGUCCGGGAGAGGUGAGUGGAAUUGCGAGUGUAGAGGUGAAAUUCGAAGAUAUUCGCAAGAACACCAGUGGCGAAGGCGGCUCACUGGCCCGGAACUGACGCUGAGACGCGAAAGCGUGGGGAGCAAGCAGG